rnacentral:misc_RNA from 1 species
GUGCUGUCAAAUUGGGUCUUAAUUCUGCAUGUGGGGCUGGUUCGAAUUUGGAAUUGGCUUCACGAAUAUCUUCAGUGGGUUUAGAAGUGCCAAAGUAUCGAAAGCAGAAUCCAAAGGGUAUACUGAAGUUGUCUGCAUCAAAAACUUUUUCACCAAAGGAGACGGUGAGCCAUUUCCCUUCUGUUUAUGCAAAUUCUAGGCCACAUGGUUUGCCAGCUCCAAUUUCUCGUCAGAAGGUGAUGGGGCUUGAAUCAAGGGCAGCGCUUAGGUUAACAAAUCAGAUGAUAAUUAAUGAUGAUGAUGUUGAUGAUGAUAAUGAUGCUGAAGAUGC